ensembl:lncRNA
AUGACAGAACGACGCGACCAGAACAUGGACCCAGCAGACUCCAUAUGGUAUCGGCGACCCGCAGUUUCUGCUUUCCUCAGGGAGAGCGUGAGGCAGGAGGCUAAGCAUGCCCAGGAGCUCCAGUCACCCUUCUAUGGGUCUCGUUUGGCUUUCGGAGGGCCCCGCAGCCUCCAAACCGCCAUGGCUAUGGCCGAGCCAGCACCUAUGCCUCGGAAGAUCAGAUUGAGCACGUGCUCAUUCCCUCUGGUCACUACACCUCCGCCUCCACCCCCAGAUUUCCAGUCCGACAAGAGGGUUAAACGGCAAAGGAAGAAGGAUUAUGUGACGCCGGACGUUAGACUCACUCCGCUGCAGUCCUUCGCUCUGUUUUUGGGUCUGCAGCGUUCUGAGCUUCAUAAACUCUCUGAUUCCUCAUUGCAGCCCGGUUCGUUGGAGGAUUUGCAGCCCAGUUUGCCACCUCCCACUUCCCAGAGGAGGCGGCGCUCACACCGUCACCACUCUUUCUCUGCGGAACAACUCCCAGUGGUGAGUUAUAAUGACUGCUUUCGUUCCUCUGAGCUGGAAAAAGACAAUCAUAUGAACACUGCUAAAACUGAGACUGUUAAUACUAUUAGACAUGGUGGUGGUAGGAAGCUAAAAAACAUUUUAGAGGAUUCUGUGUUUUCUGACCCUGUUCCUUCGCCCAGUUGUGUUCCUGCUCCCAGGGUGGCUCGGGCCCAGCAUUCCCCUGCACCUGUUUCAGUGCUUCAGGUGAGGGAGGCUGAGGUCCAGCUGGUCCCUGCUCCGGUGCCUGUCGUGGCACCCGUACCUUCUCCUCGGGUGGGAGAGGCCGGUAUCCGGCAGGUACCUGCACCUGUUUCUGACCUCGCUGGAGGCUCAGGUGAGCCCGUUCAGCGGUUUUCUUCAGGUUCUGGAGGCUCAGGGGACCUUGCUCAGUUUACUGCUAAUCCACCACCUAACCCACCAUUACUACCAUCAUUACAACAGUCAAUAGAACUUAAACUUCUAUCCAUAGCUCGAACAUUAGCUCACCUCUCAGCUCAGUCGCCUGCUCAGUUACCACCUGCCUCGCCUGGAGGGUCCGAGGGGCCCGUCCAGCCUUCGUCUGCCUCCGCUGGAGGGUCCGAGGGGCCCGUCCAGCCUUCUGUUCCCGCUGGGGGUUCUGGAGAACCGCACCAGCCUUUGUUCGUCUCCGUUGGAGGGUCCGAGGGGCCCGUCCAGCCUUCUGUUCCUGCUGGGGGUUCUGGAGAACCGCACCAGUCUUUGUUCGUCUCCGCUGGAGGGUUCGAGGUGCCCAUCCAGCAUUCGUCGCCACCACCUGCGGCUGCCACGCUGUCGCCUGCAGCUUCAUCCUCGCCUGGUCCGGCUUUGGCUACAGCUACGGCUUCAUCCUCGCCUGGUCCGGCUCUGGCUUCUGCUUCUCCGUCGCCUGGUCCGGCUCUGGCUUCUGCUUCUCCGUCGCCUGGUCCGGCUCUGGCUUCGGCUUCGCCGUCACCUGCUCGUCCAGCUCUGGCUUCUCCUGCACGUCCUGUCCGGCCUGCACGUCCUGUCCAGCCUGCUCGUCCUGCACGUCCUGUCCGGCCGCUUUCCAGGCCAAUGACUGGAUGUCCUCGCCGUCGUGGCCGGCCUCCUGACCUGCUCCGUCGCCGCCGGUGCCUCCCGCCGGCCGGCCUCCUGACCUGCUCCGUCGCCGCCGGUGCCUCCCGCCCGGCCGGCCUCCUGACCUGCUCCGUCGCCGCCGGUGCCUCCCGCCCGGCCGGCCUCCUGACCUGCUCCGUCGCCGCCGGUGCCUCCCGCCCGGCCGGCCUCCUGAACUUUUUUCUGGACUCUUGUGCCGUCGUCCUCCGGGCCGGCCCCCUGAACUGCCCGGGUUUGGACUCUUGGGCCGUCGUCCUCCGGGCCGGCCCCCUGAACUUUGUGUGA